rnacentral:rRNA from 1 species
GUGUCAGCCGCCGCGGUAAUACGUAGGCAGCAAGCGUUGUUCGGAGUUACUGGGCGUAAAGAGUAUGUAGGCGGUUUGCCAAGUCCGGCGUGAAAUCUCCCGGCUCAACUGGGAGGGUGCGCCGGAUACUGGUAGGCUAGAGUGCGGGAGAGGAGAGCGGAAUUCCUGGUGUAGCGGUGAAAUGCGUAGAUAUCAGGAGGAACACCUGCGGUGUAGACGGCUCUCUGGACCGCCACUGACGCUGAGAUACGAAAGCGUGGGUAGCAAACAGGAUUAGAUACCCUGGUAGUCCACGCCCUAAACGAUGCACACUUGGUGUGGGCAGUUCAUUCUGUCCGUGCCGUAGUUAACGCGUUAAGUGUGCCGCCUGGGGAGUACGGUCGCAAGGCUGAA